GAUGAACGCUCGCGGGAGGCCUAACACAUGCAAGCCGAGCGGUAUUGUUUCUUCGGAACUGCGAGAGCGGCGUACGGGUGCGUAACACGUGUGCAACCUGCCUUUAUCUGGGGAUAGCCUUUCGAAAGGAAGAUUAAUACUCCAUAAUAUAUUGAACGGCAUCGUUUAAUAUUGAAAGCUCCGGCGGAUAGAGAUGGGCACGCGCAAGAUUAGCUAGUUGGUGAGGUAACGGCUCACCAAGGCGAUGAUCUUUAGGGGGCCUGAGAGGGUGAUCCCCCACACUGGUACUGAGACACGGACCAGACUCCUACGGGAGGCAGCAGUGAGGAAUAUUGAUCAAUGGGUGCAAGCCUGAACCAGCCAUCCCGCGUGAAGGACGACUGCCCUAUGGGUUGUAAACUUCUUUUGUAUAGGGAUAAACCUACCCUCGGGAGGGUAGCUGAAGGUACUAUACGAAUAAGCACCGGCUAACUCCGUG
rnacentral:rRNA from 1 species